CUACGGGCCGCAGCAGUGAGGAAUUUUGCGCAAUGGGGGAAACCCUGACGCAGCAACGCCGCGUGAGUGAAGAAGGCCUUUGGGUCGUAAAGCUCUGUCAACUGGGAAGAAAUUAACAUCAAUUAAUAGUUGUCGUUAUUGACGGUACCAGUGGAGGAAGCGCCGGCUAACUCCGUGCCAGCAGCCGCGGUAACACGGGGGGCGCAAGCGUUAUUCGGAAUUAUUGGGCGUAAAGGGCGCGCAGGCGGUUUUGUCGGUCAGGUGUGAAAGCCCGGGGCUCAACCCUGGAAGUGCACUUGAAACAGCAAGACUUGAGUACGGGAGAGGAAAGCGGAAUUCCUGGUGUAGAGGUGAAAUUCGUAGAUAUCAGGAGGAACACCGAUGGCGAAGGCAGCUUUCUGGACCGAUACUGACGCUGAGGCGCGAAGGCGUGGGUAGCGAACGGGAUUAGAUACCCUCGUAGUC
rnacentral:rRNA from 1 species